rnacentral:tmRNA from 1 species
GGGGAUGAAUAUUGGGUUUGACGGUAUGAAGGGGUAUAUGGUUUCGCUGAAGUGCCAUAUUAGGGUGCGGGUUGCUCCCUGCCUUAAAAGGGAGGAAAGGUUGCCGCUGCAAAUGUUCUCCCCGCUUAAGGGGCGGUAAGAUAGGCUUCCCUUCCCGAGCCUAUCUUGCUGAAAAAUAGGGAAGGUAGGGAGAAAUCUGGGGUCAGGGUUUCUCCCGAAGAUGCAAUGGCCCUUUGGAGAUCUCGUCCGUGCCUAUCCGGGCGUUAUCUCCGAGAGCAAAGAUAGGAUAAGCAGCGUAAAGGCUGUAUGACUCCUCAUACCGGACGGGGGUUCAAAUCCCCCCAUCUCCACCA